CCCUAGAGCUUGAACAAGGGUGUGGAGUUUGUGGUAUUGAUCUUUUGUGUUCUUGAUUCUACAAUCAAGAGAGGCUCGUUGAAAAGAUUGUGAAAUUCUUAGCUUGGACCUGAGGUAGCAAAUAGGAUUUCUCUAUGGCACGCGUGGUGACGUGAGGAGUUCUUCAUCAUGGGGUGUAUGGCGUGGGGCAAUCCUAUGGACGAUAAAACGAUCAACGUAGAACGCCAUUUAAAUUAUGUUUUGUUUUAAGGGACUUUUUCCUAAAUUAUCAGUGGGACUCUGUUAUUUAACUUAA